GAAUGUGCAAGCGAUACUGCAGGUUGGGAAGUCCACGUCGGAAGACGCCGCCUCGCUGCGGAUCUUGUGGUUAAGAGUGGAAGCGGGGCCUCCAAGGCCGGGUGGUGCGUCCGCGGUACCAAGCCCUCAGCAACUGUGCGCUGGCCUUAUCUGUCUGUCCUCCCAACGUGGUUAAAGGAUGCGGGACCCUCACGGAGAAGCUGCAGAGGCCGCUGGGUCUGCCCUGGGGAAUGGCCAACCUCUGCAACCCAUCUGCAGGCCCCGAGCCGAGGACAGCUCGCGGGGGCACGCGAGGCGGUGAAGCUGACUGCAUAAGGGGACGCUGUGCUACUGAAUUCUGCCUUAGGCUUUCACAGAACCCUACAGUACCAACAGAAGCAAAAUGAGUUGGUUUUCCUGGACGUGGAAAUUCCGCUGCUAAGUGAUCUGGAUUAUCACCAAUCUUG